rnacentral:lncRNA from 1 species
CUCAAUAAAACUUUUCCUAGGCUGGGUAGCAAAAGGCACCUUUGGUUACCUGAAUGGACAGGUACAGGGCAAAUUAUUUGGGGGAGGAAAAAAGAAGAGAAAAGGAAAGAGAGAGUGCCGGAGAGCCAGAGAAAUCAAAGAAGUCACUCUUGGGAAAAGCUUGCCAUAAAGGAGCUAAACCCACCUGAAAUUCCUGCCCACAGACACUCCUUCUCACUUCAGACUCACAUCCCCACUUAAAAGGAGAAAAAUCAUAAAAGGAGGGUGGGGGAUGACCAUACCAAAAGGGAAUAAAAAGAGAGAAAAGGGGAAAAAAACCUACCUGCGAAGUCUUGUUUGUAGUUUUGGCCAGAAAUGGUGAGAAGAAAAAGCAUGAAGAAGCCGCGAAGUGUGGGGGAGAAAAAGGUGGAAGCGAAGAAACAGCUCCCGGAGCAAACUGUACAAAACCUCGCCAAGAGUGUCGGGAGGCAGGACCGUUAUUCCUGCGGAGCAGGUUAGAACUGAUCUCUUUCGGCCACUCCAGGAAACACAAACCUGGGGACGGACUGACGUGUUACGCCUCUUCUAAUGACAUUUUUUUCUUUUUCUUUUCUGUAGGAGAGAGAGGAGAGACCCUGAAACACGCGCCACCUAUCUUUGUGGGGAGGGAUAAUUGAAGCGCCCUGAGCGUGAGCAUCAUGUGAAAACGUGAUCGCCAAGUUUCUCUCUGGGAAAGGAUCUGGGAUAGAUUAUACCUUGAAGUCUCCGCAAACGCUUUAGUGGAAGAAAUGAAAUUCCACCUCCCUCCCUUCCUCUCUCCCUCCCUCUCGCCUCCCUCCCUCCCUCCCUCCCUCUCUUCUCCACGCCCCCCCCNCCCCCCCCCCCCCCCCCCCCCCCCCCCCCCCCGUCAAGCCUUUGGCAUCAUUAUCCUCAUCACUAAAUCCUACAGAGUACAGGGCGGAAAACGGUGCACACCAUUCACAGAACUGGAGAACUCUAAGGGGCGAAAGUUAAAGGGAAAGAUCCCGGGUCCUUAAUCCAGAUCGCCUCUUCUUAUACAGAUAUUUCUAAUGGCCAGACUUGAGAUGCACAUUAAGUUGUGUGGAUUUCUCAGCACGUCUUCUGGAACUAAAUUCUUUGCCCUUUUUCUUCUUUUAUUUUAUUUUAUUUUUCUUUUUGGAUGGCAGAGCCAGAAAAAAAAAUGCUGCAUGUGAACUACAUCUUAGGGUGUGUGUGCUGGGGUGUGUGUAUGAUGAAUUUCUGGAUUGGAUCUCAAUGGUAAAAAGUAGUUUGGCAUUUUUAAAAAGGGUCUCUAAGUAAAUUAA